GUGGACAUGGCUCAGUAAGUAAGAGUACUUGCUCUGCAAGCAUGAGGACCUGAGUUCAAAUCCCAAUAUCCACA
rnacentral:tRNA from 1 species